rnacentral:tRNA from 1 species
GCAAAUAUAAUUUAAUAGGUAAAAUAUUGGUCUUCCAAACCGGCUUUAAGAGUUCGAGUCUCUUUAUUUGCU